ensembl:lncRNA
GAAAAGAGUGUGAGUUGUUAUCAUUUUCCUACAGGUCAAAAAGGGUUUUGAUAAAUUAGAAUUGAAUUAUCUUUUUAGAACCUUAAAGAAAGUUAGUACUGGUUCAGUUUCUGGAUCCAAAUAAUGUAUAGUUUACUUCAAACCAAAAUAACAGAUAAUUAGAUGCAUUGUAAGCUUUCGAAGGAUGUCUAGUUUAUUACUUGUACUGUUCACAGUACCUUUAGCAACUGAAGUGUGACCAAUCCAUUGUCUGAGAAUGAUGGCCAUGACAUGACCUAUAAAUGUUAAGCAUUAAUGAAUAUGUAUUUCAUGAAACAUGUAAGUAAUCUAUCUGCAUUUGGUUCAUAACAGGGUCCAAGAGGUGAAAAUGGAGCUCCAGGACUCCCAGGAACCAAGGGUGAAAAUGGCAUCCCAGGAGAACGAGGUGCACAAGGACCUCAGGGUCCCCCAGGAAGUAGAGGUGGAGCUGGCCCUCCUGGACCAGAAGGUGCAAAGGGCCCAGGUGGUCCUCCAGGUCCUCCUGGAGGUCCCGGACUACAAGGUUUACAAGGAAUGCCUGGAGAUAGAGGAGCCAAUGGAAACCCUGGACCUAAAGGGGACAAGGGAGAGCCUGGUAGCAGAGGUGGAGAUGGCUUACCUGGUAAAGAUGGUGUCCGAGUAAGUAAAACCUCCCAUGGGUUCAUUUUUAGAUAACUUGGCUACAACAUCCCUUUAUUUAUACAUGGUGGGAGGGUGGAUUUCCAAUAGUUCUCUUCCAGCUCAUUAUAUGAGUCUGGGGAGCUCCUUGCUAACCUUCCCUACCAGUUUCCCAAACUUCCCCUUGUCAGGUAAGUCCAGAGGGCAGGAACCAGCAGCGGAGGCCAGCAGGGAGGGUUGGUAGCAAUAGCACAGGUCACAUUGGAAAUAGAGUCAUGUGUAUGCUCAGGAGCAUUUACUGCACAGGGAGUGCAGUUUUCCAAUAUUUCUCUGCUCAGUGGAUGAAACUGGAAGGGAUUGUAACCCACACACUCUAUGCUCCCAUGUAGCAGUGGAUGCUCCUGAGCUGGGAGGCAAUACAAACUUCUAUAUAGCCCCUGCUCCUCAGUGUUAAUAGAUGUUUGACUUUUUCGAACCCUCCUAGCCAUUUCUCCCUAACUUAACACGUGUGUGUGUGUGUGUGUGUGUGUUGUGUGUUUAGUGGUGGGGAUCAGCUUUGACUACUGGUAGUGGGUGAGCCUAUUUUGAGAUGCAGAGAUUUGACUUCAGUUUGAUAUUUCCAAAGUGGAAAAUUCAGUUCCAAUCCCUUACCCAAUUUGGAAUUUCAGCACCAUCACUAAUUCUAAUAGCAUGAAAGUAUAAAACAACAACAACCCAGAUUUACCCUAUAGAUCACCUAUAACCCUUGCAAGCCUCGGAGUCGAUCGCUUUUUUGAAGAGCGAUCAAUUCCACACUGCCAGUACCUCCGCAAGAAACGAGAAGUCUUGGAGAUGAAUAUUCAGAACACUUUUGCUUUCCAGACUUUGUUGAAAGUUAUGUUCACAUUUUUUAUUAAUAUUACACUGCUGAAUAUAUAUAUUUCAUCCUGCAGGGUCCUGUCGGUUCCAUUGGACCCCCGGUCCAGCAGGCC